rnacentral:rRNA from 1 species
UCCGGUGGUACGGGACGGGCACGCGCGACAUUAGGUAGUUGGCGGGGUAAGGGCCCACCAAGCCGACGAUGUCUAGGGGUUCUGAGAGGAAGGUCCCCCACACUGGAACUGAGACACGGUCCAGACUCCUACGGGAGGCAGCAGUGAGGAAUAUUGGUCAAUGGGCGAGAGCCUGAACCAGCCAAGUCGCGUGAGGGAUGAAUGGUCUAUGGCCUGUAAACCUCUUUUGUCAAGGAAGAAUAAAUCGCACGGGUGCGAUCUUGCCAGUACUUGACGAAUAAGCAUCGGCUAACUCCGUGCCAGCAGCCGCGGUAAUACGGGGGAUGCGAGCGUUAUCCGGAUUUAUUGGGUUUAAAGGGCGCGUAGGCGGGACGUCAAGUCAGCGGUAAAAGACUGCAGCUAAACUGUAGCACGCCGUUGAAACUGGCGCCCUCGAGACGAGACGAGGGAGGCGGAACAAGUGAAGUAGCGGUGAAAUGCAUAGAUAUCACUUGGAACCCCGAUAGCGAAGGCAGCUUCCCAGGCUCGAUCUGACGCUGAUGCGCGAGAGCGUGGGUAGCGAACAGGAUUAGAUACCCUGGUAGUCCACGCCGUAAACGAUGCUCACUGGAUCUUGGCGAUACACAGCCAGGGUCA